ACGUUGGUUCUCGUCGUGCAGGCAGAAGCCACUGAAACGCGCUUCGCAAGUUGUAAACGAUUGAAAUCCACCCAUAAAGUAGAGUGGCAUGUACCCUUUGUAAACCAAUUUAAUAUUAAUUUUAUUAAAUCAAACUUAAAAUAUUACAAAGUAAAAAUAGAAAGUUUUGUUAACUAGUGGAUUGCAAAAUAUAACCUAAGGAAUAGAGACAAGAUGUAUUCAUGGCCAAUAUGGGAUAAUCUUGGAAAGAAUAUCAUUAUAUUUUUCUCAGCAACUUCGGAUGUAUUUUCUGUGAUGCGGAUCUAGAAGAGUCAUAAUGACGUGUGAGUGGUAAAAUGACACGUGUUCAGGGCAUUGUACGAGGAUAGCGCUAGAUAUAACUCGUAUUCAGGGCACCGUACGAGGGCAGCGGUAGAAGUGACUCGUGUUCAGGGCACCGUACAAGGGAGCGGUAGACGUGACUCGUAUUCAGGGCACCGUACGAGGGCAGCGGUAGAUGUGACUCGUGUUCAGUGUACCGUACAAGGGAGCGGUAAACGGGACUUGUUUUCAGGGUACCGUACAAGGGCGCGGUAGACGUGACUCGUGUUUAGGGCACCGUACGAGGGCAGCGGUAGAUGUGACUCGUGUUCAGGGCAUCGUACGAGGGCAGCGGUAGAUGUGACUCGUAUUCAGGGUACCGUACGAUGGUAGCGGAAGAAGUGACUCGUAUUCGGAAAAGUCAUUUUAAAGGAUACACUUUUAACGUUCCCGGAAUUCGGCCAGGAAGAUUUUCAAAAUUGGCUUCUCAAUUGCAAUUUUUAAUAUUUUCAUUUCAUGUUUCAUCGUGGGAAAUGGCUUAUGUUUUGGGGACGGUUUGUGUUAUUCGUGUGUUUUCUUUUUAGUCUUGUUGAGGAAGAUUCAUUUUAAACGAUACGCAUUAAGCACCUCCGAAAUUCGGCUGGGAACACUCUCAAAAUUGGCUUCAAAAUUAGACAGUUUUCAAUACUUUUCAUGUUUAAUCGUGGAAAUUGGCUAAUAUCUCAGAAAAGGUUUGUGUUAUUGGGGUGUUCCUUUUUUGUUGUUAUAGAAAAAGAGUCAUUUUAAACGAUACGCAUUUGACACCCCCGAAAUUCGGCCGAAAACACCCUCAAAAUUAGGCUGUUUUCAAUUUUUUUCAAGUUUCAUGGUGGAAAUUGGCUCAUAUCUCGAAAACGGUUUGCGUUAUAGGCGUAUUUUCUUUUUAGUCUUGUAGAGGAAGAGUCAUUUAAAAGGAUACGCAAAAGCCGCUCCCGGCAUUCGGCUGGGAAGAGCCUCAAAGUUGGCUUUAAAGAUAAACAAUUUUCAAAAUUUUUAAUUUAUCAAAUUUUAUCGUAGGAUUGGCUCACAUCACGGGAACGGUUUGUGUUAUUUGGGUGUUCUUUUUUUUCUUGUCAUAGCAUAAGAGUCAAUUUAAACGAUACGCAUUUGACAUCCUCGAAAUUCGGCCAGCCACCCUCAAAAUUGGCUUCAAAGUUAAGUAAUUUUCAAUAUUUUUCAUGUUUCCUCGUGAACUUUGGCUCAUAUCUCGGGAACGGUACGUGUUAUUAGGGUGUCUUUUUUUGUUAUUGUAGAAGAAGAGUAAAUCUAAGCGAUACUUAUUUGACCCCUCAGAAAUUUAGCCGGGAACUCCCUCAAAAUUGGCUUCCAAAUCAGACAAUUUUCAAUAUUUUUCAUGUUUUGUCGUGGAAAUUGGCUUAUAUCUUGGGAACGCUUUGUGUUAUUGGUGUGUUCUUUUUUUGUUCUUAUAGAAGGAGAAUCAUUUUAUACAAUACGCAUUUGAUACCCCCGAAAUUCGGCCGGGAACAUCCUCAAAUUUGGCUUCAAAAUUAAGUCAUUUUCAAUAUUUAUCAUAUUUUAUCGUGGAAAUUGGCUCAUAUCGCGAGAACGGUUUGUGCUAAAGGGGUGAUAUUUUUUUGUUGUUAUAGAAGAAGAGUCAUUUUAAACGAUACGCAUUUGACCACCCCGAAAUUCAGCCGUGAACACCCUCAAAAUUAGCAUCAAAAUUAAGCAAUUUUCCAUAUUUUUCAUGUUUUGUCGUGGAAAUGGGUUCAUAUUUCGGGAGCUGUAUGUGUUAUUGGGGUGAUCUCUUCGUAGUUUUGUUGAGGAAGAGUUGAAGGCUACGCUUUUUCAAUCUCCGGAAUAUUUUAAAAUUGAGUUAUAUGCCAACUUUAUACUAUUUUCUUGAAUUUUUAUCAUUUCAUUUGUACAGUGUUGAGUUGCGCGCGAUUAUUUCACGUGGCGUAUUUAACUUUAAUCGCGUCUAUUGUGUUCGACAGGUGCUGUUGUGUAAAUUGUCUCCAACCCAACGAAUGUAUGCAACUGUUUUUCGAUCGAGUUUACACUAUUGGCUUUGGCUGUUAUUUGUGUUUAGUUUGCUGUGCGUUGUCGUGGCGUGUGCACGCGUUCUCAUCGUUUGUGGACCGUUGUAGUUACUUUUUGCGUUUCUUGAUUUUAAUGUGGGAAAUACUAGUAUUUAAAUAGGUUUGCCAUCAAUUGUUUUUAUAUUGUGGACUUUACUGUGAGUGUGUACGCUGCAUGCAGCCGGUCUUUGGAUCAAUUAGUUUAGUGUAAAAUUAAGUACGUUUGUUCUCCUUGUGGAUAGGCUGCCAACGCCUGAGUAAUAAAGGGAGGAACAUAAUUUCUUAUAAUAAUUUGCAGAUUGGUUUUUGUGCACAAGUGAGUAAGGAACAUGUAGUAAAAAUGUACUUUACUAAAUAUAUGUUCAUUAUAUGCAAUAAAGAAUAAUGUAAUCAUA